rnacentral:rRNA from 1 species
CCCUUAGAUGUCCUGGGCUGCACGCGCGCUACACUGAUGUGUCCAGUAAGCACCUAACCUCUUCCGAAAGGAACGGGUAACCUUUGCAAAGCACAUCGUGAUGGGGAUAGAUUAUUGCAAUUUUUAGUCUUGAACGAGGAAUUCCUAGUAAGCACAAGUCAUCAGCUUGUGUUGAUUACGUCCCUGCCCUUUGUACACACCGCCCGUCGCUCCUACCGAUUGAAUGUUCCGGUGAGCUCUUCGGACUGCGCGGUCUGCAGUUUCUGCGUUCCGUGCGGAAAGUUGCGCAAACCUUAACAUUUAGAGGAAGGAGAAGUCGUAACA